rnacentral:rRNA from 1 species
GUGGGGAAUAUUGGACAAUGGGGGGAACCCUGAUCCAGCCAUGCCGCGUGUGUGAAGAAGGCCUUUUGGUUGUAAAGCACUUUAAGUGGGGAGGAGGCUUACCUGGUUAAUACCUGGGCUAAGUGGACGUUACCCACAGAAUAAGCACCGGCUAACUCUGUGCCAGCAGCCGCGGUAAUACAGAGGGUGCAAGCGUUAAUCGGAUUUACUGGGCGUAAAGCGCGCGUAGGUGGUUAAUUAAGUCAAAUGUGAAAUCCCCGAGCUUAACUUGGGAAUUGCAUUCGAUACUGGUUGGCUAGAGUAUGGGAGAGGAUGGUAGAAUUCCAGGUGUAGCGGUGAAAUGCGUAGAGAUCUGGAGGAAUACCGAUGGCGAAGGCAGCCAUCUGGCCUAAUACUGACACUGGGGUGCGAAAGCAUGGGGAGCAAACAGGAUUAGAUACCCGUGUAGUCC